UGAACUCUUCAGCUGAAAGUACACGGAAGUCAUGACGAAGGCAAACAGGCCUUUUACCCCCCAAUUCUGUGAAAGCGCAGUUUAAAGAAGUCGUCAACUAAGUUGACUGGUAUUGAUCAUUGAUUAUAAAGACCUAAAAGUUGUUAUUAAAGACCUAAAGUGUUGGAUGCAACUUUGGAAAAAAUAUUAUACUGAUGAAACAAGAUCAUUUGCAGCUUCACUGAAGGUAAAUUUUUUCCCUAGUGGAAUUAAAUUUUCUAAAAUGGCCCCUCCUGUUUGGAAGUUGGAAGAAGCAGACUAAGAAGCAGCUAAAAUUUUUGGAUAAGCCAGAUUAAAUUCAUCAUGAAGUUAAUUUUAAGUUGCGACCUUUUCGCAGAAGGUGUCAAACUUUUUCUGUGGUUUCUGUACCAGUUGGUGAUGGGUCUGGAGGUCAGGUUCUCGUCCUGAGAGCCCUUUGCUCUGUGACAGUACAGCGCAGAGCUCAGGAUGGAAGAGCUUUGGGUUCAGAUAGGUCCGUCUUCCUUGGGGUUCUUAUGCAUAAAGUGGACGUUCUUACUUCCACCUGUCAGCAUCCACGAGCCCUUCCGAUGUUAAUCGUCCCGGGAUGGAAGGGGUGACUAGCCUUGCUGAUCAGAAGAUCUCAAUGCCCUGCCACGUGGAACGUGCAGUGUGAUCCACAGGCCGAAUCACAUGGACUCAGUACCUUCGCGGAAGCUACUGGAAAAUUCCUUUAAUUCUCCCUGCCGAACGUAGGAACAAGAAAAGACGUGAAACUGCAGCUGUGCUGGCUGUCUUGUCAUCACAAGCGUUUCCUGGCUUCAUCUUGCCAUCGUACUCUGGCGUCUAGUUACAGUGAGGAACCCCCGUCUGAGCCCAAGGGAGCCCAGCUUCGCUCUCUCAACAUCUCUUCCACCACUUCCCGGGGGCUAAGUGGGAAUUCACUCCAGACAGCAGUUCUGGCCCCAUCAGGGCACAACUCGCGUCUGGGCCAGAACUUCAUCUCUUCAUUGCAGAAAGUUAAGGAAAUCGUUGCUCAGCCAGGGAGCAAAGAUUGGCUCUGCAGCUGCUCUUUUAUGGAGCUGUUAACGCAGAGACACCAUUACUUAAAUGUAAUUUUUAGUAUUACAAUUAAAGACUGAUUUGAUUUUAUGAGAUCAUGCAUUUUUAUUUUAUGGACGUUUUUGUAGUUAAAUUCAAUUUAAAAGAUUGUAUUUAAAGUAAGGUAUAAGCACGGAGCGUAUUAAAGUUAUGUAAGCCUGCUUUUGGCGCUCUGAUAGCAAAGCUUCCAGCACUGGAUUACUCUGGUAGCGCCACAUGUUUCCUGCUACAACUACGUACUAGCUCAGGAGAAACGAACUUGGCUUCCUCUGUUUGUGACAGCCCCAAAUCUAUCAAGCCUCACGAAGCUCACUGUCAGUUUUCUGCAGGAAAGAAACACUCCUCUCCUUUCAGCCGACUCUCUGAGGAAGGACUUCCAUGGACCCAGGUGCUCUUUCGCUGGGAUUUCACUCUCUGUGCGACACGGAGCUGUGCCCGUGGGGACCAGCCUGCAGAAUGCCACGAGCUGUGCCCGUGGGGACCAGCCCUCCCAGGGCUGAGGCCAGCUGAUGACCCGGUGCGAUUUUUGAAGGCUUCGUUUCUGACGGCAGAAAAGCACGUCAGCGUAUUUGCACGGAAUAGAUUAAGCUGCUGGGAACCACGUCCCCUUCAACCGGACUGACGUGGGACCAAGAAGGGGCUUUGUCCUUGUCACCUGGCCUGUCCUAGGUCACCGGGACAAGCAAGGGAAGCGGCGGACCCUCUUUUAAGCCCCACGUCGCAAAAAUGCGUGAAAUGAGCCCAGACUGAAUUAGAUCCUUCCUCCCACGUAUUUUGGCUGAAAGGUCGCUCUUCCUUCUCUCACUCGUGUUUCCUGGGCGCGAAUCCUGGUUUCUCCGCCAUCGAAUUAGCAGAGGAGCAAAGGUUACUCAGAUCUUGGCGCUUUGACGAAAACAGGAUUUUCCUUGGCUCUUCACCUGAGAAUCUGGGGGUACAACACAUGACAGCAUGGGGCUCCCCUAAGACUGUGGUCCCAGGCAUUUCGCCUCUCCAACUCGCCCACCUGUCACCCAGUGUGGACAUCGCCACCUCUGCGUCCCUGCCAUUUCCGGCUGCAGUGCUUCUCCCCAGGAAAAAUGGCAAGUACACAGAAGAAUCCCAGGAUAAUGGAGAUGCACGGACAGCCGCCACCUGUUUUCCGCAGCGCACACGCCGCCCUGGCGUUUUUGCUGAAGCAGAUGAAUAGAUGUGCUUGCCAUCAGGGCCCCUGGUCCUCCAAAGCUUCAGACUGCAUCCUUCCAGAACAGGGGCGUUUUCCGACGUGACCGCCACGCGUCAUCACGCCGACAAAAUGACCCGUUACCAUGCGAUCCUCAGGCCGAAUUCACAUCCGCCGGCAUGUGAUGGAUCAUUUUCACUCUGUCUCUAGCAGCGGCGCCUCCUGUUUUUACCUGAGAUUUCUCAGAGGUAAAGAAGGCUCCAGUGGGGUCCUGCUGAAUUCGUCUCAUGUGCAACCCGCUCCUUCCUGGCGAGUCCGGCGACCCGUGUCCUCGAGAAAAAAAACCACAGUUGCCUGAUGCCUGCUUCGUUCACGCCUCGUCUGAGCUGAUGCAGUCUCCUCGUUCCUGUUUGGGGCCUAAAGCAUCUAUUUCGGAUCUUCGGGAAGCCAAAGGCCACAUCUGUGACGACGCCCUCAGAUUUUACCCAGAAAACCCACUUGGUUGGGCUUUGCUUCGCUGAUGUCUUGUCCUGUUUUCAAGCUGCAGUUGGGAUGGUAGGGGGACGUGUGACCCUCUGCUGGGAUGGAGGCCCAGGGUGGAGGAGCUGGUGCCUGCUGGGAGGCCCAGGGCAGCCUGAGAAGGAGGGCUCUAUUAUCUUGGAUUUGCUGCUUGUUUGGAAGAGAAAAGCGUGCCGCUGUUUUGCACAUUCAUUUUCUCGACAAAGUAACAGGUUCCUGGAAAGACCACGUCUUUGGCCUGUCUGAUCGCUUAGAAAGGCUGGGAGUCCACAGGGUGGGAACCACGACGCAGCUCCAUCCAGAAGAGCCAGUUCUGUCAACCGCACACAUUUGGUUUGACUUGGAAAGGUCACGGUUCCCCAGAGCCUUAGAGUUGGGGUCCCAGUGGGGAGCAGAAACCAGGGGCCAGAAAAAACCAGAAAUAAGACACAUGACACAUGGCUGAUGCAAAAAGGGGGCGUUUAUAGAAGUUUUGACUCUGACAUGGGGAGCGUGGGCCUUGGGGACCAGCUCGAGGCCAAGAUUUGUCCAGUAGCAGCUUUGCUUUGGAGAAAACCCUUUCUAAGAAGAGGCCGGAGGCAACUGUUUUCUUAUUAUCACCGCCGGCGUCCGUGACAGAAGGCAAACCACAUUGAUUCCUGCUGCCGACUCAGAAAGGAGAGCGGCCAGAAGGCCCUGGGGUUUUAGACACCCCCAGACAGUUCUGACACAGGGAGGGACUUCAUUCUCUCCAUCUUCUUCCCAACCACAUGGAUGGACCUAGGGAGAGGAUCGUACUACGUGAGGUCAGUCAGACAGAGACAAACACGCUCUCCGUUUGAAAAGGCCUGAGCGGUCGUCGCAGGUGGAAUGUUGGUGGAGAAUGAAGCCCAGCAGAGGCCUUAUAUUUUGUUGCAGCGUUUUUGGAUUUCAUAUGUGUGUCUAUGGAAAUCACCACCACAAUAUAUGCCCAGGAGUGGGAUUGCUGGAUCAUAUGGCAACUCUGUUUUUAGCUUUGAGACGCCUCCAUACUGUUCUCCACCAACUUCCUUUCCCACCAACAGCGUAGGAGGGUUCCGGAAAGGGGGUCGUCGAAAGGACGCAGGUAAAUACACCUGCUCUGGUGUGGCAGAGGACAAAAUAACGCGUGCGUGUUUGUCCUGUGUGUGUGUGUGCCCGGAUGCGUUCAUUGUGGGGAGGGGGAGGGGACUGGUGCCAAAUACUUUCUCCCCCCUUUAUUCCAGCGGGGCGCCGCGCUCAGCGCUGUGCCGGAAGGUCGCGGGGUCCACAGGGAGGCUGUGUUGGCUGGCUUUCCGGCUUCGCUCUUUUCCCCGGGUGGAGGCAGUUGAACUCUGCCCGUACUUGCUAAGAUGCUCGACUCCCUCGACUCCCGCUUGGUGCUUUGUAAACACCGCAGCGUUUUCCGCGCCCCCGCCCCCUGGCUUGCUUCUCGUUUCAUUCACUACUGCAGUUCAGUCUAAUCGUAUCUCUUGGAAAUAAUAUGAGAAAGUUAUGCUGUUUUACUCCAUCAGAUUUAAUAAGUUUGGAUGCUUUCCAAGUACGAGGCAUUAAUCACACUUAUACCCAGGCCUCAACAGUUCAUCCACCCGGUAGAUUCGUGUCAGAGACAUAAAACAAUCUGCUCUAAUGCACACAGUUCCCUUUAAACCGGGCGCUCGCUUUGUGUUGGUAAAACUUGCUUUGUAUCCAGGGGCUGGGAUGAGAAAGGGGGCGGGGAUUUUUGUGUCGUGUGAAGCGACUCACGGCUGAAUUUCCCCUUCCUUUGCGGAUUUAUCCAUCCAUCCACCCACCCAUCCACCCUUCCAUCCCUCCAUCUCUUGUCUGUCUCUCAUCGAUCUGUCAAUCAUCCGUCUAUCAUUCCUCUGUCUCCUCUCUGUGUAACUGAGCUCAGCACAAGGAGGCAUGAGAGCGCCUUCGCUGUGUGCAGGGUGAGUUUACCUCACAGAGAUGGAGUGCCGUGUGGUCUUCCGAUCAGACGGCCCCCCUUGACCUCAGGGCUUCCGUCUGGGGAGGCAGGGGCCUUGGCCACUGAUGUUUGCCUGUUUUCCAGGAGGGGGGUGUGAUGUUCCUUGACCGGACAGCUUGUUGCCAUGACCAUAGGUGAGGCUGCAGAGAAACAUACAAAAAUGAAAAUAAACAAGAACUUCCUUUGUCACCGGAAUCUGUUUGGUCGGUUUCUGUGGCUGGAGGCCCUUUAGUCUGCCUCCGCCCUCCUGAGCAGAAUCCUCUCUAUGCCACUUUUCUUUGUUUGUGUGGCCCAGAAGUCUUCGUGCGGUGGCAGAGUUAUUUGAGUGUUUAAUCGGAGUGACAGCAUUUUCAGGUGUUGCUGUUUCUCUGAUGCUUCUGCCGCGUCCUUAGGAGAAGUUGCCCGGUGGAGGCAGUGAGUCCCGGGAGCCCCUGCUGGGAAGCGGCCUCUACUGGUGCCGGGUGGGCCCCCUCGGAGUGGCCUGCAGAAGUUCCCAGGCCAGGGGUAGAACCCGCGCCACAGCAGUGACAAUGCCAGGGAGCUCCCUCAGGGGCGUUUGAGUCCCUCAGGGGCGUUUGAGUCCAAGUCUAUGGGAGGUGGUCACUGCGGAUUGCUCUCCGGGCUGGGAAGCAGAAAUACCUGUGCACCACUGCGUGUGUCCCCACCUCACCUGAACUUAGUGUAGGGGACACAGGGAGAGGCACUGCUGUUGGGCUUUGCUCCCAGAUGGCCUCACCUCCGGGUGUGGAGAGGCGGCACGCACCAUGCAGGCAGACGUGCUAACGGAUUGCAGAGUGGCGCGAUGCAGGUGAGGGGGUCAAAGGGGUUCUGAGGAGGGGCCCUGCUCACCGGGGUGGUCGGUACCCAUGGACUUUGAAUAGGGGAAAGAUCCCGUCUGACGCCAAAGGCCCUGUUCCUGCUCCCCCAUCACAGUUCCCCGACCUCUGCACGUCUCUGCAUGAUCCUCAGCUCUGCCCUGAGAGGAUGCUUUGGAAGCAUGUGUGGCUAUAUUUUAUUUCACUGGGUGAAAACUACACAUUCAGAAACAGACUCCCAGACAGAGAGCUCAGACUUGUGGUCGCCAAGGGGGCAGGGGAGGGAGUGGGAUAGACGCGGAGCUUGGGGUUCAUAGAUGCAAACUAUUCCGUUUAGAGUGGAGAAGCAGUGGGGUCCUGCUGUGCAGCACAGGGAACAGUGUCCUGGCAUAGACCAUGAUGGAAAAGAAUAUAA